UCUCAUAAGUAUCCUCACUGUUGGAAUUUUUACACCUACUAAACCCUGCAAAUGUGGUGAAGCAGACUCCUGCACAGUGUUCCCACUCAGUCUUCUCUCAGCAGCCAGUUCCUGACCAGCAGCUUUUGUAGGCAGAAUCAUUCCCAAGGUGAACUCUGUUUUAAGUGCUUUAAGGUAAUCUCUGAGGGCCUCUCUGACUUUUGUGGUUCCUUCAGUUCUCAUAAGCUCCUUCAGAAUAUCACCUUCCCCUUUCUUUUUGCUAACAUUAAUCUCUGUAUCAUCUACCUCAUUUUCUUCUGACAGGUUAGGAAUUUCAAUAGAUCCCUUAUGUUUCUC
rnacentral:lncRNA from 1 species